CAAGUCGAACGGCAGCACGGGUGCUUGCACCUGGUGGCGAGUGGCGAACGGGUGAGUAAUACAUCGGAACAUGUCCUGUAGUGGGGGAUAGCCCGGCGAAAGCCGGAUUAAUACCGCAUACGAUCCAUGGAUGAAAGCGGGGGACCUUCGGGCCUCGCGCUAUAGGGUUGGCCGAUGGCUGAUUAGCUAGUUGGUGGGGUAAAGGCCUACCAAGGCGACGAUCAGUAGCUGGUCUGAGAGGACGACCAGCCACAC
rnacentral:rRNA from 1 species